rnacentral:rRNA from 1 species
UGGGGAAUAUUGCACAAUGGGCGAAAGCCUGAUGCAGCGACGCCGCGUGAGGGAUGACGGCCUUCGGGUUGUAAACCUCUUUCAGCAGGGACGAAGCGCAAGUGACGGUACCUGCAGAAGAAGCACCGGCUAACUACGUGCCAGCAGCCGCGGUAAUACGUAGGGUGCAAGCGUUGUCCGGAAUUAUUGGGCGUAAAGAGUUCGUAGGCGGUUUGUCGCGUCGUUUGUGAAAACCAGGAGCUCAACUGCUGGCUUGCAGGCGAUACGGGGAGACGUGAGUACUGCAGGGGAGACUGGAAUGCCUGGUGUAGCGGUGAAAUGCGCAGAUAUCAGGAGGAACACCGGGGGCGAAGGGGGGUCUCUGGGCAGUAACUGACGCUGAGGAACGAAAGCGUGGGUAGCGAACAGG